AUGAACGCUAGCUACAGGCUUAACACAUGCAAGUCGAGGGGCAGCAUGGUCUUAGCUUGCUAAGGCCGAUGGCGACCGGCGCACGGGUGAGUAACGCGUAUCCAACCUGCCUUACACUCUUGGACAGCCUUCUGAAAGGGAGAUUAAUACAAGAUGUUAUCAUGAGUAAGCAUUUUCGCAUGAUUAAAGGUUUACCGGUGUAAGAUGGGGAUGCGUUCCAUUAGAUAGUAGGCGGGGUAACGGCCCACCUAGUCUUCGAUGGAUAGGGGUUCUGAGAGGAAGGUCCCCCACAUUGGAACUGAGACACGGUCCAAACUCCUACGGGAGGCAGCAGUGAGGAAUAUUGGUCAAUGGACGAGAGUCUGAACCAGCCAAGUAGCGUGAAGGAUGAAGGUUCUAUGGAUUGUAAACUUCUUUUAUACGGGAAUAAACGAAUCCACGUGUGGAUUUUUGCAUGUACCGUAUGAAUAAGGAUCGGCUAACUCCGUGCCAGCAGCCGCGGUAAUACGGAGGAUCCGAGCGUUAUCCGGAUUUAUUGGGUUUAAAGGGAGCGUAGAUGGGUUGUUAAGUCAGUUGUGAAAGUUUGCGGCUCAACCGUAAAAUUGCAAUUGAUACUGGCAGUCUUGAGUACAGUUGAGGUAGGCGGAAUUCGUGGUGUAGCGGUGAAAUGCUUAGAUAUCACGAAGAACUCCGAUUGCGAAGGCAGCUUACUAACCUGUAACUGACAUUGAUGCUCGAAAGUGUGGGUAUCAAACAGGAUUUAGAUACCCUGGUAGUCCACACGGUAAACGAUGAAUACUCGCUGUAGGCGAUAUACAGUCUGCGGCCAAGCGAAAGCAUUAAGUAUUCCACCUGGGGAGUACGCCGGCAACGGUGAAACUCAAAGGAAUUGACGGGGGCCCGCACAAGCGGAGGAACAUGUGGUUUAAUUCGAUGAUACGCGAGGAGCCUUACCCGGGCUUAAAUUGCAACCGAAUAUGGCGGAAACGCUAUAGCUAGCAAUAGCGGUUGUGAAGGUGCUGCAUGGUUGUCGUCAGCUCGUGCCGUGAGGUGUCGGCUUAAGUGCCAUAACGAGCGCAACCCUUGCCGAUAGUUACUAACAGGUCAUGCUGAGGACUCUGUCGGGACUGCCAUCGUAAGAUGUGAGGAAGGUGGGGAUGACGUCAAAUCAGCACGGCCCUUACGUCCGGGGCUACACACGUGUUACAAUGGGGGGUACAGAGGGCUGCUACCACGCAAGUGGAUGCCAAUCCCAAAAACCUCUCUCAGUUCGGAUUGAAGUCUGCAACCCGACUUCAUGAAGCUGGAUUCGCUAGUAAUCGCGCAUCAGCCACGGCGCGGUGAAUACGUUCCCGGGCCUUGUACACACCGCCCGUCAAGCCAUGGGAGCCGGGGGUACCUGAAGUGCGUAACCGCAAGGAGCGCCCUAGGGUAAAACUGGUGACUGGGG
rnacentral:rRNA from 1 species